AAAAGCAUAGAGACAAUUCCCUCAUCCCGACUCAGCUUCUCUCUCCGAUACAGGAAAUCUAACAAUUCCUAUUCUUACUAACCUUUUUGCCUAGCGUCUUUCCGAUAUAUUGAAUUAUCAUCCCUAAUCUAAGAUAGCGUGAUGCCACCAACAGUCGAUUUAUUAGACUGCUCCCCUUAAUUGAAUCUCCAGGCCUUCCAAAGACUGCCCACUUACAAAAUAGGCCUAAGCCUAUGCCAAUGGACUCGUGACAUCCAU
rnacentral:lncRNA from 1 species